ACUCCUACGGGAGGCAGCAGUGGGGAAUUUUGGACAAUGGGCGCAAGCCUGAUCCAGCCAUGCCGCGUGCGGGAAGAAGGCCUUCGGGUUGUAAACCGCUUUUGUCAGGGAAGAAAAGGUUCUGGCUAAUACCUGGGACUCAUGACGGUACCUGAAGAAUAAGCACCGGCUAACUACGUGCCAGCAGCCGCGGUAAUACGUAGGGUGCAAGCGUUAAUCGGAAUUACUGGGCGUAAAGCGUGCGCAGGCGGUUAUGCAAGACAGAGGUGAAAUCCCCGGGCUCAACCUGGGAACUGCCUUUGUGACUGCAUGGCUAGAGUACGGUAGAGGGGGAUGGAAUUCCGCGUGUAGCAGUGAAAUGCGUAGAUAUGCGGAGGAACACCGAUGGCGAAGGCAAUCCCCUGGACCUGUACUGACGCUCAUGCACGAAAGCGUGGGGAGCAAACAGGAUUAGAUACCCCAGUAGUCCCAUG
rnacentral:rRNA from 1 species